UACGUAGGGUGCGAGCGUUGUCCGGAAUUAUUGGGCGUAAAGAGCUCGUAGGCGGUUUGUCACGUCUGCUGUGAAAUCCCGAGGCUCAACCUCGGGCCUGCAGUGGGUACGGGCAGACUGGAGUGCGGUAGGGGAGAUUGGAAUUCCUGGUGUAGCGGUGGAAUGCGCAGAUAUCAGGAGGAACACCGAUGGCGAAGGCAGAUCUCCUGGCCGUAACUGACGCUGAGGAGCGAAAGCGUGGGGAGCGAACAGG
rnacentral:rRNA from 1 species